rnacentral:rRNA from 1 species
AUUGAACGCUGGCGGCGUGCUUAACACAUGCAAGUCGAGCGGUAAGGCCCUUUCGGGGGUACACGAGCGGCGAACGGGUGAGUAACACGUGGGUGACCUGCCCUCAGCUCUGGGAUAAGCCUGGGAAACCGGGUCUAAUACCGGAUAUGACUCCAUGACGCAUGUUGUGGGGUGGAAAGCCUUGUGCGGCUGAGGAUGGGCCCGCGGCCUAUCAGCUUGUUGGUGGGGUGANGGCCUACCAAGGCGACGACGGGUAGCCGGCCUGAGAGGGCGACCGGCCACACUGGGACUGAGACACGGCCCAGACUCCUACGGGAGGCAGCAGUGGGGAAUCUUGCGCAAUGGGCGAAAGCCUGACGCAGCGACGCCGCGUGAGGGAUGACGGCCUC